UUUGUUCCGUUAUCACAAAAAAUUAGAUUUCUCGAAAGUGUGGAUCAUGUUUUGUGCAAAAAGUUCUCUGAAUCGGAUAAUUCUUUUUUCUCUUUACUAAUAAAUAUUGCGAAUAUUUUUUCUAAAGAAAGAGGUGUGAUAAUUAUAAUUCAACGAAGUGCAACAAUUUUUUAGAAAUAUUGAUAAAAAAUGUCAUCUUAAUUAAAAACGGUGAAAUACCUUAAGUAUUGCAUAAUUAUUAAUUUUAUGCAGAUCGUGUCAAAAAUUCAAUAAAAAUUUGCUCACCGGUCCAAUCAAGGUAUAUUUGAUGAAUAUUUGGAUCAUUUGGAGGAUCCAAAACAAAGAGAUCUAAUCUCGAUAUUUAGACAAACCUUCAUAAACCAGGAAAAAAUGAACUUACGAUAAGAAUAGCUGUAUAGGAGCUUAUCAUUCCAAUCACCAAGCUACAUGUUAAGGCCGUUACAUAGCCAGCCAGUCUGAAUGCAUGUGGAAGAAAAAGUAUGCCGCUGCCAACUGCGGCCUUCAGUAAGUGCAUAAACACCACCAAGUCACUAUAAUCGAAGGAUAAUAAAGAUCAGUAAUGUUUUGAAAUUUUCAUUUUUAACAUCUUUCAAUGUAACUUAAUAUGAUAAUUGAUACUGUGAUGUAAAUAAUAGAAAAUUUAUCAGUUUCAUAAAUCUUCUAUUGAGAUAGCUAAUUAAUAUUUUAUUACUAAUCCAAUGAAAUAAAUUUCAUUGAACAAAUACCAAUUGAAAUUUAUUGGAAAUAAAAAUA